AGAGUUUGAUCAUGGCUCAGAUUGAACGCUGGCGGCAGGCCUAACACAUGCAAGUCGAACGGUAACAGGAAGAAGCUUGCUUCUUUGCUGACGAGUGGCGGACGGGUGAGUAAUGUCUGGGAAACUGCCUGAUGGAGGGGGAUAACUACUGGAAACGGUAGCUAAUACCGCAUAACGUCGCAAGACCAAAGAGGGGGACCUUCGGGCCUCUUGCCAUCGGAUGUGCCCAGAUGGGAUUAGCUAGUAGGUGGGGUAACGGCUCACCUAGGCGACGAUCCCUAGCUGGUCUGAGAGGAUGACCAGCCACACUGGAACUGAGACACGGUCCAGACUCCUACGGGAGGCAGCAGUGGGGAAUAUUGCACAAUGGGCGCAAGCCUGAUGCAGCCAUGCCGCGUGUAUGAAGAAGGCCUUCGGGUUGUAAAGUACUUUCAGCGGGGAGGAAGGGAGUAAAGUUAAUACCUUUGCUCAUUGACGUUACCCGCAGAAGAAGCACCGGCUAACUCCGUGCCAGCAGUCGCGGUAAUACGGAGGGUGCAAGCGUUAAUCGGAAUUACUGGGCGUAAAGCGCACGCAGGCGGUUUGUUAAGUCAGAUGUGAAAUCCCCGGGCUCAACCUGGGAACUGCAUCUGAUACUGGCAAGCUUGAGUCUCGUAGAGGGGGGUAGAAUUCCAGGUGUAGCGGUGAAAUGCGUAGAGAUCUGGAGGAAUACCGGUGGCGAAGGCGGCCCCCUGGACGAAGACUGACGCUCAGGUGCGAAAGCGUGGGGAGCAAACAGGAUUAGAUACCCUGGUAGUCCACGCCGUAAACGAUGUCGACUUGGAGGUUGUGCCCUUGAGGCGUGGCUUCCGGAGCUAACGCGUUAAGUCGACCGCCUGGGGAGUACGGCCGCAAGGUUAAAACUCAAAUGAAUUGACGGGGGCCCGCACAAGCGGUGGAGCAUGUGGUUUAAUUCGAUGCAACGCGAAGAACCUUACCUGGUUUUGACAUCCACGGAAGUUUUCAGAGAUGAGAAUGUGCCUUCGGGAACCGUGAGACAGGUGCUGCAUGGCUGUCGUCAGCUCGUGUUGUGAAAUGUUGGGUUAAGUCCCGCAACGAGCGCAACCCUUAUCCUUUGUUGCCAGCGGUCCGGCCGGGAACUCAAAGGAGACUGCCAGUGAUAAACUGGAGGAAGGUGGGGAUGACGUCAAGUCAUCAUGGCCCUUACGACCAGGGCUACACACGUGCUACAAUGGCGCAUACAAAGAGAAGCGACCUCGCGAGAGCAAGCGGACCUCAUAAAGUGCGUCGUAGUCCGGAUUGGAGUCUGCAACUCGACUCCAUGAAGUCGGAAUCGCUAGUAAUCGUGGAUCAGAAUGCCACGGUGAAUACGUUCCCGGGCCUUGUACACACCGCCCGUCACACCAUGGGAGUGGGUUGCAAAAGAAGUAGGUAGCUUAACCUUCGGGAGGGCGCUUACCACUUUGUGAUUCAUGACUGGGGUGAAGUCGAAACAAGGUA
rnacentral:rRNA from 1 species